rfam:Branchiostoma floridae genomic scaffold BRAFLscaffold_258, whole genome shotgun sequence.
UCACACGUAGUGCCGGGGUAACUAAAGCUCUGAGUUCUCUCAGCUUCAGAGUUUUGUUACCCCGGCUCUAUGUGGG